UCGUUAUGUUUUAAAAUGUGUGUUAACGGAUAAAAUGCAAUUGAAUCCUAUUAGAAUAAGACACCCACUCCGGCCUUGGAUAAUGGAAUGUGUCUCAUGCGUUCAUCUUUCCCUUCUUUUUGUUUGUUUGUAUGUUAGGAGGCAACAUUAGCUUGUGUUCAUCAAAUGACCGCACUUGUGAAAUAGGAUUCAAACCCAUAAUGACAGUUAAGAGUGGUGAAUGCUGCCCAACCUAUACCUGUGUACUAAAGGGCGUCUGUGUUCACAACAACGCAGAAUAUACGUCAUUAUAGAGCUGUGCAAACCGAGUCUCUCCGCACAAACCCAAGCAGCUGUUUCUUCACUCGUUUCACUUUGAAUGGUAAAUGAGCCCAAUCGACAUCGUUGCGGAAGGCGCUCUGUCUCCACAGUGAACAGGUAACCGCUAAGACAAGAGGGCCCUCCCUACCAUUAACGCUGUCGUCUCCCUUCCACCUUCCUGCAGCCUGGAGAGACGUGGUCUCCCCCUGACAACAAGUGUGCUCUGCAUGGAUGCAUGAAGAUCAAAACAUCAUCGUAUGCUGUAAAGAAUACUUGAACCCAGCUACACUGAACAUAUGCAACCUGUAUAUAGCAUGCACAAGUUAACGUAAAAGUUUGAAAAAGGAUGCGUGUUAUGCUUGAUAAAUUGCGGUAGCAGUUUUGCAGUGAUUUCACAAUCUAGCAGGAUGGGAAUCAAAAGUUUAUAAACAUCAGAAUAUAGUAGAUUUCAUAUUUCGGUGAGAGUUCAUGCACUGUAUUUGUUUCUGAUGGGUGUGGUUAUCCCUAACCAUAACCCUUGCUUUUUAUUUGGCCUGCUGUCAAAAUUAGUCAUUUUGAUGAGAUAAUGUCACUACUGGUGCGCACUGCACCAGUACUGCACAGUUCAGGCAGCUGCUCUGAAAUGGUGUCUGGCAUCCACAGAUAAAAAGCCAAAUAAACCAGAUCCUUCAAACAAUUCCAUUUUUUUACUUCAGGGAACCAUCCAAACCACUCCAGACGGCUGCUGAAAAUCACUUUACUGUACAUUCAAAGCUGUAUGAAUUCAAAGCUGCUGUCAGUUCCAUAGCAUCCUCAUACCUUCAGAUUACAAAGGUAUGAGAAAGUGGCCCUAAAGGGGUGAAGGAAGGCUCAGCUAACCAUUUUUAUCAUGCUUAAUACACAUUCAGUUGAAGUCAGAGUUUCCAUUCAAAGCUCUGAUCCAGUUGUUUUGUUUGUCACUCAGUAGUUAAGCUUCAAUAAAAACAUGUAUCAGUCAGACUAACAGUUAGGGUUGUGUCAUGGAUUUAAACACACUUCACUGCAAGGUUCAUUAAAAAAGGUGAAUUAAAAAAUAUUCUCUUUGCAGAUGUUGAGAAACAGAAGCUGACGACAGUCAAUAGCUACAUCACCUAUCAGGGCUGCCACUCCACUGAGAAGAUCGUGAUAAUGCAUUGCGAGGGCUCCUGUGGGACCUUCUCCAAAUAUUCUACUGAGGCUGCCAGCAUGGAGCACAGGUGCAGCUGCUGCCAGGAGACAAGACUCACAACGUGAGCAUUGCCCUGACCUGCCCCGACGGGAGGAACCUGCUCCAGAUCCAGACUGACCAGUGUGACUGCGUCACCACCGCCUGCGAGUCCUUAAGCAGCGUGCAGAGACAGGCUCUUCCGAAUAAGAGAAGCCGUUGAUCAGGGCAGAGGCCAUGAGUGAAAACAGAGCUCCACAAGCAAGACCGGAAAGACAGACCACCCUCCCUCACUCGAAACCAACGCAGCAGCAUAAUCUAGAUAGCUUUAGAAAAACACAGCCUUGCACAAAAUGAUGAGCGUUAUGUAUUUUUCCUUUCCUGCUUUGCAAAAAUAAGUAGUUCCUUGUUCUAUUGUUAAUAUUAGGAAUGCCAAACUGACCUUUUUUUUAUUUGUACUUUUGUUGUUGCUUAAAGUCCUAAAAUCAAUGCAGCUUUGCUACCAACCCCAA